rnacentral:rRNA from 2 species
AGAGUUUGAUCCUGGCUCAGGAUGAACGCCGGCGGUGUGCCUAAUACAUGCAAGUCGUACGCACUGGCCCAACUGAUUGAUGGUGCUUGCACCGGAUUGACGAUGGAUCACCAGUGAGUGGCGGACGGGUGAGUAACACGUAGGUAACCUGCCCCGGAGCGGGGGAUAACAUUUGGAAACAGAUGCUAAUACCGCAUAACAACAAAAGUCGCAUGGCUUUUGUUUGAAAGAUGGCUUUAGCUAUCACUCUGGGAUGGACCUGCGGUGCAUUAGCUAGUUGGUAAGGUAACGGCUUACCAAGGCGAUGAUGCAUAGCCGAGUUGAGAGACUGAUCGGCCACAAUGGAACUGAGACACGGUCCAUACUCCUACGGGAGGCAGCAGUAGGGAAUCUUCCACAAUGGGCGCAAGCCUGAUGGAGCAACACCGCGUGAGUGAAGAAGGGUUUCGGCUCGUAAAGCUCUGUUGUUGGAGAAGAACGUGCGUGAGAGUAACUGUUCAUGCAGUGACGGUAUCCAACCAGAAAGUCACGGCUAACUACGUGCCAGCAGCCGCGGUAAUACGUAGGUGGCAAGCGUUAUCCGGAUUUAUUGGGCGUAAAGCGAGCACAGGCGGUUGCUUAAGUCUGAUGUGAAAGCCUUCCGCUUAACCGAAGAAGUGCAUCCGAAACCGGGCGACUUGAGUGCAGAAGAAGACAGUGGAACUCCAUGUGUAGCGGUGGAAUGCGUAAAUAUAUGGAAGAACCCCAGUGGCGAAAGCGGCUGUCUGGUCUGCAACUGACGUUGAGGCUCGAAAAGCCAUGGGUAGCGAACAGGAUUAGAUACCCUGGUAGUUCCAUGCCGUAAACGAUGAGUGCUAGGUGUUGGAAGGGUUUCCCGCCUUCAGUGCCGGAGCUAACGCAUUAAGCACUCCGCCUGGGGAGUACGACCGCAAGGUUGAAACUCAAAGGAAUUGACGGGGGCCCGCACAAGCGGUGGAGCAUGUGGUUUAAUUCGAAGCUACGCGAAGAACCUUACCAGGUCUUGACAUCUUGCGCUAACCUUAGAGAUAAGGCGUUCCCUUCGGGGACGCAAUGACAGGUGGUGCAUGGUCGUCGUCAGCUCGUGUCGUGAGAUGUUGGGUUAAGUCCCGCAACGAGCGCAACCCUUGUUACUAGUUGCCAGCAUUAAGUUGGGCACUCUAGUGAGACUGCCGGUGACAAACCGGAGGAAGGUGGGGACGACGUCAGGUCAUCAUGCCCCUUAUGACCUGGGCUACACACGUGCUACAAUGGACGGUACAACGAGUCGCAAACUCGCGAGAGUAAGCUAAUCUCUUAAAGCCGUUCUCAGUUCGGACUGUAGGCUGCAACUCGCCUACACGAAGUCGGAAUCGCUAGUAAUCGCGGAUCAGCAUGCCGCGGUGAAUACGUUCCCGGGCCUUGUACACACCGCCCGUCACACCAUGGGAGUUUGUAACGCCCAAAGUCGGUGGCCUAACCUUUAUGGAGGGAGCCGCCUAAGGCGGGACAGAUGACUGGGGUGAAGUCGUAACAAGGUA